GCGGGGCCGGGCCGGGCCGGGCGCAGCGGCGCGGUGGGCGGGUGUGGGCCGUACGCCGGCAGCGCAGGGCGGAGAUGGCGGCGGAACCGGGCACCGGUGAGGUGCGGCGGCAGCACCGCUUCGACGAGCGGGGCUUGGAGCGGUACCUGUGCAGCCACCUGCCCGGCUUCCCUCGGCAGCCCGCGGGGGCGCUGGCUGUCAGGCAGUACAGCUCAGGCCAGUCAAAUCCAACCUUUUAUCUUCAGAAGGGUGGGCAGGCUUAUGUGCUCAGGAAGAAGCCCCAUGGCCCCCUUUUACCUAGAGCUCACAAGGUCGAUAGAGAAUAUCAUGUGCAGAAAGCGUUAUUUUCAGCUGGAUUUCCAGUGCCUGAACCCCUGUUGUAUUGCAGUGAUGUUUCUAUCAUUGGAACAGAGUUUUAUGUAAUGCAGCAUGUGCAGGGUCGCAUCUUCCGAGACCUCUCCCUGCCUGAGGUGGGCCCAGCAGAGCGUUCUGCUUUGUAUAUUGCAAUGAUAGAAACUUUGGCCCACUUGCACUCCUUCGAUUUACAGUCAUUGGGUCUCCAAGGAUAUGGGAGAGGACCAGGAUACUGCAGAAGACAGGUAUCAACUUGGAAAAGACAGUAUGAUGCAGCUGCUCAUACAGAUAUUCCUGCCAUGAACAAGCUGGCUGAGUGGUUAGCAAACAACUUGCCACCUGAUGAUAAUGAAGAAAGCCUGAUUCAUGGGGACUUCAGAAUAGAUAAUAUCAUCUUCCACCCAACAGAGGCUCGUGUUUUGGCAGUGCUUGACUGGGAGCUUUCAACUGUUGGUCAUCCUCUAACAGAUUUAGCAUAUGCCACUCUGUUCUACUUUUGUCCUACAUCUGUGAGGGACUUAGGUCGAGGAACUCUCUUGGGUUUCAAAGACACCAUAGAAACCCCCUCAUUUGAAGAACUGGUUUCCGUUUACUGCCGCUGCCGGGGCAUCAGCACUGAUAUAGCCAACUUGAACUUUUUUCUUGCUUUGUCAUAUUUUAAAAUGGCAGCAAUAUCCCAGGGCAUAUAUGCUAGAUAUCUCAUUGGAAAUGCUGCUGCAGAGAAUAGUCAUGAAUUUGCUAAGAUUGUGAAGCCUUUGGCAGAGAAAGGGUUAGAGCUCUCACAAAGGUCAUCUUUCAGCAGCACACAGCACAGCACCCCUGGAGAGCUGUUUCGUCAGAGCAGGAAAGGCCAAGAAAUGUUGCUGAAGGUGAAGCAGUUCAUGCAGCAGCACAUAUACCCAGCUGAGAAGGAAAUAAUAACAUACUAUGCUGGAAAUGGAAAUACUGAGGAUAAGUGGAAGAAACCACCAUUGCUUGAGAGACUGAAGGAAAUGGCCAAAGCAGAAGGUCUGUGGAACCUCUUUCUCCCAGAUGUGAGUGGUCUCAGCCAGCUUGACUAUGCGCUAAUAGCUGAGGAGACUGGGAAAUGCUUCUUUGCUCCUGAGGUUUUCAACUGUCAUGCUCCAGACACUGGGAACAUGGAGGUCCUGCACAUGUAUGGGACUGAAGAGCAAAAGAAAGAGUGGCUGGAGCCUCUCCUAGAAGGGAAGAUUAGUUCUUGCUUCUGCAUGACAGAACCUGAUGUGGCUUCAAGUGAUGCCACCAAUAUGCAGUGCAACAUUGAGCGAGAUGGAAACAGUUAUGUGAUAAAUGGCAAGAAGUGGUGGAGCAGUGGUGCUGGGAACCCAAACUGCAAAGUGGCAAUUGUAAUGGGCAAAACCAGAAACCCCUCAGCAUCCAGGUACGAGCAGCACAGUAUGGUUAUUGUUCCCAUGGACACGCCAGGGGUGAAGCUGAUAAGACCUCUCUCAGUGUUUGGCUACAUGGAUGAGAGCCACGGAGGACAUUUUGAGAUCCACUUCAGUGAUGUGCGAGUCCCUAUCUCCAAUAUAAUACUGGGUGAGGGCAGGGGGUUCGAGAUCGCUCAGGGUCGGCUGGGGCCCGGCCGAAUUCACCACUGCAUGAGGUCCCUCGGCGCGGCUGAAACCGCUCUGCAGCUCAUGUGCCAGCGCGCAGCGCAGAGGGAGACCUUCGGCAGGAAACUCUAUCACCAUGAGGUUGUUGCCCACUGGAUCGCUGAAUCUCGCCUCAGCAUAGAACAGGCUCGGCUGCUCACACUGAGAACAGCCAGCAAGAUCGACGCGCUGGGCAACAGAAAAGCAAGGAAAGAGGUAGCCAUGACCAAAGUGGUUGUCCCUCGAGCCGUGCUUAAAGUGAUUGACUGUGCAAUCCAAGUGUGUGGAGGAGCGGGAGUUUCCCAGGAUUUUCCUUUGGCUUUUAUGUUUGCCUACAUCCGGACCUUGCGCCUGGCAGACGGGCCCGACGAGGUUCAUCUCUCGACCAUCGCGAGGUGGGAACUGCUUGAGCAGUCCAAGAAGCUAACUGCAAAAAUCUAACGUCAGCACCAAGGAAGGGCUCAGAAGGAUUUUGUUCAGUGCAAUAGUGUGGUUUAAGAAUGCAGAAGCUCUCAACAGAGUUUUGUAAAGAAGUACAGAAACAUCACUUGUAGUUUGGUUACCCACAGUUCAACAGAUGAGCCUACAUCCAGAAAGGGGUAUACUCUGCAAGAGACUUCUACUGCAUCCAGAAAAGAGACAGUAAAAACAGAGAAGUGUCUCAACAAGACCAAAAGUGAUUCUCAGCUGCAUCUGAUGUCUUAUGCACUGAGGAUUGUGGAAAGUUACAGACUAAAAAAAUUCAUUUCAAUAAGUUUCUUUUCAUUUACCUCAAUUCCAUUUUCUCUUCUCAGUUCCUCUGCAUUUAAUGCUGAACAAUUGACAGUAUGGAAAGCAAGUUCUGUAGCAGCGGGCAACAGAGGAGAUUCUUUGGAAAACAAAAGGUCAUCUGAUGUUUCAAUGUUAAUAGUCUUUAUCAGCAUAGGAUAGCCUGCGUACUUGUAAGGUUUUAACUCUGCAAGAGGAAAAAUGUCAAAGUUUACACAAAAGCAAAUUAAACCACUGCAUCAUUAUCAGCAGAAAAUGUAUCAGAUAUAGAACGACUAAGAGUAAAGAAAGCCAACACUUGGGAAAACUGAAGCAUGACUAAGCAGUCCACACAAUCCAACUCCUUGGUUCAAUGCGAGAAGCUGAAAGAACUCAUUUAAGAUUAGAAAGACUUAUCUCCAUCUCAGCAAACCCCCAAGCUCAGAGCCUCUGAAAUGAUGCUUGCCUGUCUCCAGAGAAACACAAGUAGAGCUUAGUCUGUCAGAGGCCAGGACUGUUCAACAAUAAUCCUAUAAGGACCUUUCCAGUUUGACAUAUGUUUUAAAUAAUACUGGUUUUUAUUCCUUUAGGGUUCAGCAGUGCUAAAGAACAACUGUGCAAGCCCACAUCAAUGUCACUGCCUCCACACAACUGACAGACCUAUGAUUGCAUACGAGGGUCUUAGUUUACCAUUAUAACACUUCUGCAGCAAAACACUGUGACUCUGCAAGGCUUGGGCACUCCAGCAGCUGCCAGCCAGGGACUGUAGCUAGAGCUACAGGUAGAGGGUUAGGGUACUCUAGUUAUCCCUCUUUCCUAGCUGGUACUGUUGCAGCACAAUCACCCCAGGACUCUAACACUAGUGAGAAUUUCUGCAAGACUGUCUCACUUUUAAUAGCCACAUGAGUGCAAUCUCAUUUAUACCCAGAAUCUGCCAUCUGGCUGACUGAGCGAGGACUUUUCUGCACAGACGGAAUUGUAAACCCAAGUUACAUAUGGAGGAAGAGUCAAACUGAUUAGUAUUGGAGCAGAGAGUUUCAAAAAGCCCUUCAUGGUUUUUUUUUUGAAGUAAAUUUUACUUCAGGUAAGUUUCCUUCAUGGAAGAAAAAGCCUUAUUUUGAAGCCCUUUACCAUAACUACAUAAUGCUGUGGCAAGCCAGAAAUCAACAAAACAGAUUCAAGAACAGAGGAGAUUAAAACUACUCACAAUGGCCACUAAAGAAAUGAACCUAAAUCAUUCUUCUGACACAGUAUGCUUACCUUCCUUAUGCCUGUUGAAGAGGAUGCUUUGAGUUUUCAAGAUCAAAAUUAUGUUUUCUGGAUCUGGCCCAUCUAUCACCUUGGCAGACUUUGUGCAAAGAAACUCAUAUGCUUUAUUGACUUUUUCAAACAUAUCCUGCAAAUAAAAAGGAAUAGUCUUAAGAGAUGCUAAGAACCCCCUAAAUUACUACAAGCCUGCUGCAGUGCUUUAGAUGCAGGUAAACAUAGAGCAUUCCAGGUUAUUAACCACAACACUAGCUUUGUUGCCUUACUACACUUCAGAAAACACUCCAGACAACACUGGUGCACAGACCAGUUUUCUUUUGUCUCCUAAACUCCACCACAGGCAAGAGACUAAAACUAAUUCAAUUCCACUAUGAUAAAAGCAGUAAGUAGAGUUUAACCAAUUUUAAGAAUGGGCAGAGGAUGCAGUUUGAAAGGGAGCAAUUAGCUUAUUUAGGUCCUGUGUAACUCUAAACCAGAUGCUUUCUGAGAUGUGGGUCUGACCUGAUUACAUCCGUUUUCUGUAGAAAUCCUAAUAUUCCUUCAUUGACACUGGUUAAAUUACUCCUCUGUAGUAUUAAUCUGUAUUCUAGUACUCAUCUAGGGCAUGGCUUUUAAAAGGGA